rnacentral:rRNA from 1 species
UGGGGAAUAUUGGGCAAUGGGCGCAAGCCUGACCCAGCAACGCCGCGUGAAGGAUGAAGGUUUUCGGAUUGUAAACUUCUUUUGUGGGGGACGAAACAAAUGACGGUACCCCAAGAAUAAGCCACGGCUAACUACGUGCCAGCAGCCGCGGUAAUACGUAGGUGGCGAGCGUUAUCCGGAUUUACUGGGUGUAAAGGGCGAGUAGGCGGGAUAGCAAGUCAGAUGUGAAAUACCGGGGCUCAACUCCGGAGCUGCAUUUGAAACUGUUAUUCUUGAGUGGUGGAGAGGCAAGCGGAAUUCCCGGUGUAGCGGUGGAAUGCAUAGAUAUCGGGAGGAACACCAGUGGCGAAGGCGGCUUGCUGGACACUAACUGACGCUGAGGAGCGAAAGCGUGGGGAGCAAACAGG